rnacentral:rRNA from 1 species
AUUGAACGCUGGCGGCAGGCUUAACACAUGCAAGUCGAGCGGAGCGAGGGUGCUUGCACCUUAGCUUAGCGGCGGACGGGUGAGUAAUGCUUAGGAAUCUGCCUAUUAGUGGGGGACAACAUUCCGAAAGGGAUGCUAAUACCGCAUACGCCCUACGGGGGAAAGCAGGGGACCUUCGGACCUUGCGCUAAUAGAUGAGCCUAAGUCGGAUUAGCUAGUUGGUGGGGUAAAGGCCUACCAAGGCGACGAUCUGUAGCGGGUCUGAGAGGAUGAUCCGCCACACUGGGACUGAGACACGGCCCAGACUCCUACGGGAGGCAGCAGUGGGGAAUAUUGGACAAUGGGCGGAAGCCUGAUCCAGCCAUGCCGCGUGUGUGAAGAAGGCCUUUUGGUUGUAAAGCACUUUAAGCGAGGAGGAGGCUACUAGUAUUAAUACUACUGGAUAGUGGACGUUACUCGCAGAAUAAGCACCGGCUAACUCUGUGCCAGCCGCCGCAGUAAGAC